AUUGAACGCUGGCGGCAUGCCUUACACAUGCAAGUCGAACGGCAGCACGGAGCUUGCUCUGGUGGCGAGUGGCGAACGGGUGAGUAAUAUAUCGGAACGUACCCUGGAGUGGGGGAUAACGUAGCGAAAGUUACGCUAAUACCGCAUACGAUCUAAGGAUGAAAGUGGGGGAUCGCAAGACCUCAUGCUCCUGGAGCGCCGAUAUCUGAUUAGCUAGUUGGUGGGGUAAAGGCCUACCAAGGCAUCGAUCAGUAGCUGGUCUGAGAGGACGACCAGCCACACUGGAACUGAGACACGGUCCAGACUCCUACGGGAGGCAGCAGUGGGGAAUUUUGGACAAUGGGGGCAACCCUGAUCCAGCAAUGCCGCGUGAGUGAAGAAGGCCUUCGGGUUGUAAAGCUCUUUUGUCAGGGAAGAAACGGUGAGAGCUAAUAUCUCUUGCUAAUGACGGUACCUGAAGAAUAAGCACCGGCUAACUACGUGCCAGCAGCCGCGGUAAUAC
rnacentral:rRNA from 1 species